UCAAACAUAUAGAAAACAGAAAAGAGAGAACCAAAAAGAGAGAGAGAGAGAGAACUUCAUUGUUUAUACAUACAAUGUAGUUAAUCUGCUAGUGCAAAACUGUGAGAAGGAAGAAAGAAAGAAAAAGAAGAAGAUUUAAAGGAGAAAUCAAAUCAAAUCAAAUUGUUGAAAUUAAAAUUUGAGGAGCAUAAGGACAAAUCCACCGGCAGAACACUGUGAGUAAUAUCUUAGUAAAGAUAUGUUCAAGUGAGCAAAGGGAUGUCCAAACCCAACCCCAGUGAAAGAUAUGAGAGGAAGUCAAGUUUUGUGGAGUCAGCCCGCACGUCUCACGCACGAGACUUUAUUUUUGUUCAUGUGUUUACACUUUUGCUUUAUCAGUGAAUACGUUGGAUCAUCCAUGCAUAUAAGUUUGUUUUGUUUGGCU